UGGUGACAAAGUGUGCCGUUCUUAUGAUGUCUCUGUUUGUGUUCUUUACAACCACUAUGUCUGUGUCAUUUACUUUGAGAGAGACGCAGACUCGGAUGCUGAAGUUCACAGUGCAGCUUCAACACCAUGCUCGUCAUCAGCUUCCAACAUUUCAGUUGAUUUUUGUGCAUGUAAUUGAAUCACUUGUCUUUGUCCCGAUUAUGAUUGGCAUAUUGUUUUUUCUGUUCGAGUUUUACGAUGAUCAACUAUUGGCCUUCAUGGUCCUAAUUCUUGUCUGGUUGAGUGAACUAUUUACCCUGGUCAGGUCUCUAUCUCUCUCUUAUUAUACAUAUAAUAUAUAGCA